rnacentral:rRNA from 1 species
GACGAACGCUGGCGGCGUGCCUAAUACAUGCAAGUAGAACGCACAGUUUAUACCGUAGCUUGCUACACCAUAGACUGUGAGUUGCGAACGGGGGAGUAACGCUUAGGUAACCUGCCUGGUAGCGGGGGGUAACUAUUGGAAACACUAGCCAAUACCGCCUAAUAUUUAUUAUUGCAUGAUAAUUGAUUGAAAGAUGCUAUUGCAUCACUACCAGUUGGACCUGCGUUGUAUUAGCUAGUAGGUGAGGUAACGGCUCAUCUAGGCGACGAUACAUAGCCGACCUGAGAUGGUGAGCGGCCACACUGGGAGGGAGACAGGGCCCAGAGGGCUAGGGGAGGCAGCCGGAGGGAAUCGGGGGGAAUGGGCGGAAGUCUGACCGAGCAAGGCCGAGUGAGUGAGGAAGGUCGUCGGAUCGUAGAGCUCUGUUGUAAGAGAAGAACGGGUGUGAGAGUGGAAAGUACAGAGAGUGACGGUAUCUUAUAAGAAAGGGACGGCUAACUACGUG